UACGUAGGGUGCGAGCGUUAAUCGGAAUUACUGGGCGUAAAGCGUGCGCAGGCGGUUAUAUAAGACAGAUGUGAAAUCCCCGGGCUCAACCUGGGAACUGCGUUUGUGACUGUAUGACUAGAGUACGGCAGAGGGAGGUGGAAUUCCGCGUGUAGCAGUGAAAUGCGUAGAUAUGCGGAGGAACACCGAUGGCGAAGGCAGCCUCCUGGGCCAGUACUGACGCUCAUGCACGAAAGCGUGGGGAGCAAACAGG
rnacentral:rRNA from 2 species